rnacentral:rRNA from 1 species
CCUACGGGGGGCAGCAGUGAGGAAUAUUGGUCAAUGGGCGCGAGCCUGAACCAGCCAAGUAGCGUGAAGGAGGACGGUCCUGUGGGUUGUAAACUUCUUUUAUAUGGGAAUAAAGUGCAGUAUGUAUACUGCUUUGCAUGUACCUUAUGAAUAAGGAUCGGCUAACUCCGUGCCAGCAGCCGCGGUAAUACGGAGGAUCCGAGCGUUAUCCGGAUUUAUUGGGUUUAAAGGGAGUGUAGGCGGGUUGUUAAGUCAGUUGUGAAAGUUUGCGGCUCAACCGUAAAAUCGCCGUUGAUACUGGCAGCCUUGAGUACAGUAGAGGUAGGCGGAAUUCGUGGUGUAGCGGUGAAAUGCUUAGAUAUCACGCAGAACUCCGAUUGCGAAGGCAGCCUGCUGGACUGUAACUGACGCUGAUGCUCGAAAGCGUGGGUAUCGAACAGGAUUAGAUACCCGAGUAGUC